rnacentral:rRNA from 1 species
UGCAGUUGAGGGAGAAUUUUGGUGCUUGCACUGAAAGGGAACCGGCGAACGGGUGCGUAACACGUAUGCAACCUACCUAUAACAGGGGAAUAGCCCGAAGAAAUUCGGAUUAAUGCCCCAUAACACUUUCGGAUCGCAUGAUUUGGAUUUUAAAGCUCCGGCGGUUAUAGAUGGGCAUGCGGCCUAUUAGCUAGUUGGUGAGGUAAUGGCUCACCAAGGCUACGAUAGGUAGGGGGUCUGAGAGGAUGAUCCCCCACACUGGUACUGAGACACGGACCAGACUCCUACGGGAGGCAGCAGUAGGGAAUAUUGGUCAAUGGACGAAAGUCUGAACCAGCCAUGUCGCGUGCAGGAAGACGGCCCUAUGGGUUGUAAACUGCUUUUAUACAGGAAGAAACCUUUUUACGUGUAGAAAGUUGACGGUACUGUACGAAUAAGGACCGGCUAACUCCGUGCCAGCAGCCGCGGUAAUACG